rnacentral:rRNA from 1 species
AACAGGAUUAGAUACCCUGGUAGUCCACGCCGUAAACGAUGUCGACUUGGAGGUUGUUCCCUUGAGGAGUGGCUUCCGGAGCUAACGCGUUAAGUCGACCGCCUGGGGAGUACGGCCGCAAGGUUAAAACUCAAAUGAAUUGACGGGGGCCCGCACAAGCGGUGGAGCAUGUGGUUUAAUUCGAUGCAACGCGAAGAACCUUACCUACUCUUGACAUCCACGGAAUUUGGCAGAGAUGCCUUAGUGCCUUCGGGAACCGUGAGACAGGUGCUGCAUGGCUGUCGUCAGCUCGUGUUGUGAAAUGUUGGGUUAAGUCCCGCAACGAGCGCAACCCUUAUCCUUUGUUGCCAGCGAUUCGGUCGGGAACUCAAAGGAGACUGCCGGUGAUAAACCGGAGGAAGGUGGGGAUGACGUCAAGUCAUCAUGGCCCUUACGAGUAGGGCUACACACGUGCUACAAUGGCGCAUACAAAGAGAAGCGACCUCGCGAGAGCAAGCGGACCUCAUAAAGUGCGUCGUAGUCCGGAUCGGAGUCUGCAACUCGACUCCGUGAAGUCGGAAUCGCUAGUAAUCGUGGAUCAGAAUGCCACGGUGAAUACGUUCCCGGGCCUUGUACACACCGCCCGUCACACCAUGGGAGUGGGUUGCAAAAGAAGUAGGUAGCUUAACCUUCGGGGGGGCGCUUACCACUUUGUGAUUCAUGACUGGGGUGAAGUCGUAACAAGGUAACCGUAGGGGAACCUGCGGCUGGAUCACCUCCUU